GAACAUAGAACGAUAAACAAAUUAUCAUGUUUACGUAACAAAUGAUUGCACUACACUAUGUUAAACUAUGCGGACACAUAAAUAUUAAUGUACAGUUCAUGGUAAUCAUAUCCCUUUAAAGUGACACAAUGGACAAUAAACUUUUUUAUACAUUAGGUAAUGCAUUGAAAAUUAUGUUAAAAAAAAAGAAAAUUAAAAAGUAAAAAAGAAAUACUUAUUGUUAAAGUUUCUAGAGUAGCUACACUGUCACACACAAGAAUUAGCACCUGGGGGACACCUCUUUGACCAGGUAGAAGCCUCUCCUACUGGUCUGUGGACUUUUAUUAUCCCAUAAAACACCGUCCAACAAGAGUUUAUGGAAUACACAAGUAGUUCUGCCGACUGCAGUUCCACUCAUCACAUUGUAUGAAGUAAACUGCUGAAUAUGUUGGUAGCAGCCAUACGCUGCUAUCAUUUCAUACACAGUCACGUUCACAGUUUUGUAAACUGUGCUGUGUACAGAGAUCUCCUUAGCUGACCAGACAUACAUGCGGCUCCAGUUUAAGCGUUCGUCAAAAGAGUUUGUCCAAGCUGGUCCAAGCCACACGCAAAAGCUGGACAAAUCUGAGACUGCAACGGAGACAAUAGAACGUCAACUUUUUAAUGACUCUUCUUCAAAUGGUAGCAAUAGUGCUGCAGUUAUAGCCACCAAGGGAAGGAACAGAGUGUCUCCGCCAUAUCUUUUUGCAACGAUAUAAAGUUGUUAUGGUGCUUCGAGUGACCAAUAAUCACAAUUUGUGUGAAAUAGAUAUUUUAUGAAUAGAUGUACAAUUUUCCUAACUGAGAUAAUAUAAACUUGCUUUGUAAUUGUUUUACCUUUUUUUUUUUCUUAUCAGUACUGUGGUCUUUUAUAAAAGCUGUAGCUAAAUAAAACAAACAUUUGCCUAAACUGAAUCAUGCCAUGUUUAACUAUGUAGUUUGAUUGCAUUUUAUUGAGACUCAAUAUUUCCAUACUUUUACGGAGUGGGAAUUCACUUCUAAAUUACUGUGAAACUGUUUUUAAAACCAAACUACUGUCAGAUUUCAUAAGCGUACACUUAAAGCAAUAAACUUGAAUGCUGUGUUUUAA